rnacentral:rRNA from 1 species
GCCUAACACAUGCAAGUCGAACGGGACUUAGUGGAAAGCGGCUUCGGCCAAUGGAAGCUAAGUUUAGUGGCGAACGGGUGAGUAACGCGUGAGGAACCUGCCUUCCAGUGGGGGACAACAGUUGGAAACGACUGCUAAUACCGCAUAACAUAAUCGAACCGCAUGAUUUGAUUAUCAAAGCUUUAUGUGCUGGAAGAUGUCCUCGCGUCUGAUUAGCUAGUUGGUGGGGUAACGGCCCACCAAGGCGACGAUCAGUAGCCGGUCUGAGAGGAUGAACGGCCACAUUGGGACUGAGAUACGGCCCAGACUCCUACGGGAGGCAGCAGUGGGGAAUAUUGGGCAGUGGGGGAAACCCUGACCCAGCAACGCCGCGUGAAGGAAGAAGGCCUUCGGGUUGUAAACUUCUUUUACCAGGGACGAAGAACGUGACGGUACCUGGAGAAAAAGCAACGGCUAACUACGUGCCAGCCGCCGCCGUAAUAC